UGAGGGCCCCUCUGCGUGUUCACAGCGGACCUUGAUUUAAUGUCUAUACAAUUAAGGCACGCGGUGAAUGCCAAGAGAGGCGCCUCC